ensembl:snoRNA
GCUGACUUCUUUUACACUGGAUAUUAUUUUUAAAAAUUUAUCCAUGUUGUCCCAUGCCAGAGCAAACUGUGGCCCUGAAUUAUUGCCUGGUCUCUAUGCCUGUGGGAUGCUGUUCAUCAAAACUGGCUUACUGGAGCCAGUUACACAGUG